UGUCCGAGCGAGAGGCACAAACCCUGAGGACUGGAGAGAGGGGUUCGCCCGGGCCCUGCUGUGUACCAUCCUCCCCCUAGCCAAAGCUCUGACCCUUCUGGGGCUCACUUCCUGCCACCCCCGACCACAGCACCUGUGACCUUUGGCUCUGGGAGCGUCAGCCCCACUCCUGUCACCUACUGAACAGAAAAGGCAGGCCUCAGAGCGCUCUACUGCCUGCCUCCAGCCACAGUCCCCAGCAGGGAUUGGGAGAGGCAGAGGCAGCUCAGGGACCGCACCUUGGCGGGGUCCAGCCCCUUCACCGGAAUGCCUUGGCUGGGAACCUGGGGCAUAGCACACUGGGUCUCCAGCCCUGGAACCAGCUGCCGGGAAGCAGGCAAGCAGCCACCCGAAAGACCCCAUGCUGGGGGCACAGAGAGGUGACCAAGAGGAGUCCCUUGGCCUAUAAAUCAGGUGGUGCACCUGCACCAUGGUGACCACAGGCCUGCCCGGCCUCCCACCUCUCACAGUGGUGGCUGGGGGAUGCCUCAGGCGACUGGGAUGGAGGGGGGUCUGGCACCUGGCUCCUCCUGGCCUCCUUGCCUUGUGUGCCCACAGGGACCUUGGGGAAGCAAAGGAGAUGGUGCCAGGAGGGAGCAGGGUGGGGCGGGCAGCAGCAGGUACAAUGGCCCCAAGGAGGCAGAGGCCCUACCAGUCACGCCUGUUCCGGUACUCACAGGGAGGGAGGCAGCUGUGACAGGCACACUGCUCAGGGAGAUACUGGGUCACCCUGGGAAGCCCAGACAGCAUCUUCCUGGACAACCAGUCAGGCUGAAUUCCCCAGCCCAGAGCUGAGCGCCCAGCCAGGGAGGAGCAGGAAACUGGUACCCCGCGGGGGAUCCAGGGGCACUCAAGGAGGGCGGCUGAGGGGUGCGUCUCGCACAGGACCCUAAGGCCAGCCGGGGGAGGCGACAGUGGGUUCUCUGCUUUCAAGUGGCUGGCAGCAGCAGGGAGGAGUGGAGCCACAGGAAGAGGACGCAGCCCAGGCCCGCCAAGAUGACAGGAGGGCCGCCGCCAGCCUGCCCAGACCUGGGCCACCUGAGCAGCUCAGGACAAGGGGAAGGAGAGAGACAUAGAGCUGAGGAAGCAGAAAGCAGGCUGGAGGCAACUGCUUAGAAACCAAGGCUUUCUUUGUGUCCAAGUCAAACCGCCCGUCUGUCUCUCCCUCCCCAAAGGGGCC
rnacentral:lncRNA from 1 species